ACAUCGGUGGUUCAGUGGAAGAAUUCUUGCCUUCCAUGCGGAAGACCCGAGUUUGAUUCCUAGCCAAUGUA
rnacentral:tRNA from 1 species